AACGAACGCUGGCGGCAUGCCUAACACAUGCAAGUCGAACGAGACCUUCGGGUCUAGUGGCGCACGGGUGCGUAACGCGUGGGAACCUGCCCUUAGGUUCGGAAUAACUCCCCGAAAGGGGUGCUAAUACCGGAUAAUGUCUUCGGACCAAAGAUUUAUCGCCUUUGGAUGGGCCCGCGUUGGAUUAGCUAGUUGGUAGGGUAAAAGCCUACCAAGGCGACGAUCCAUAGCUGGUCUGAGAGGAUGAUCAGCCACACUGGGACUGAGACACGGCCCAGACUCCUACGGGAGGCAGCAGUGGGGAAUAUUGGAAAAGGGGCGAAAGCCUGACCCCGCAAGGCCGCGGGAGUGAUGAAGGCCUUAGGGUUGUAAAGCUCUUUUACCCGGGAUGAUAAUGACAGUACCGGGAGAAUAAGCCCCGGCUAACUCCGUG
rnacentral:rRNA from 1 species